rnacentral:misc_RNA from 1 species
UAUAUGAUUGUUAUAGGCACAUAGGCCCAUUGAUCACAUUCUUCAACAUACUAUGUGGUAUAUGAAUACAUAGUACUCGAGGGAGAGGUUUUGCAAGCCAUUUGAGAAGAGCUGUAUGCUUGCGCACUCAGCAAUCCUCAUGUCCGGAAAAGCCAUAGCCAUCCGAUAGUCGACUGUUCUCAACCCCCAAGACUACAAAGGGUGCACAGGUGGAUGAAUAAAGUCAAGACAAGUGUGCACAUGCCCCUAAGAGCCAGCUACAACCCAUCAAGAAUAUUCAAUAAUGAUCCUUCCGCAGGUUCACCUACGGAAA